rnacentral:lncRNA from 1 species
UGAGUUUCAUGGCCAUCUCUAACUAAGAGGAGGAAACUGAGGCACAGAGACUUCAAGGUAGAUGGCCAGGUACCCUGGCUCUGCCAGCCUGCCUUUCAGCAGGGGCUUCAAUGGUCUUGCUCAAAUCACAUCCGCACUGACGAAUUUCCCUGUCGACUGUAGGUUCUCUUGUUGCUCUGAGUCCUUUUUCUGAGAAACUGGGGGUAGUUUGGUGUUUCAAUCAGGGCAAUAUCUUUCAUCUCUCACCUUCUUCCCUGCCUUGUCUCUCCUUGGCCAUACUGGGCUUCCGGGCCCUGCACCCCUUCCUGCACCCUUGUCACGCCAUGCAUCUGGGGGAAGUUACACAACCACAGCUGUGCAGACCCAGCCACACAAGAUUCCCAGAGGGCAGUCCACAGGGGCCCCGGCAACUCCUAUCAUCCUUGCUCCAGGCUUUGGCAGGCAGCUCCUGCACGCUCCUCUCAGCCCCAUUCCAGGCCCACAGCCCCUCAAGCUUCCACCCAGCCCCAGCCACUAACUCUCAAAUGACAAAUGUGUUUCCUGUUUCAUCAGGACAGGACAUCGAUGUCAUCUGUAACUUCCAGUGCACUGGGGCACACAGCUGCAUCUCCCCAUGCUCACCUCCUGCCUCUUGCUCUGCCCAGUGUGAGGACUCAGCCUGGAUCACCUCCUCCAGGACAAGAACAACCUACCAUCAUCUGUCCGUCCAAUCUACCCACCCAUCCAUCUCUGCCUCUGGGCAUGCAUCCGUCCGUCCAUCCAUCCCCGCCUCUGUGCAUGCAUCUGUCCAUCCAUCCCCGCCUCUGUGCAUGCAUCUGUCCAUUCAUCCCCGCCUCUGUGCAUGCAUCUGUCCAUUCAUCCCCGCCUCUGUGCAUGCAUCUGUCCAUUCAUCCCCACCUCUGUGCAUGCAUCUGUCCGUCCAUCCAUCCCUGCCUCUGUGCAUGCAUCUGUCCAUCCAUCCCCGCCUCUGUGCAUGCAUCUGUCCAUCCAUCCAUCCCUGCCUCUGUGCAUGCAUCUGUCCAUCCAUCCAUCCCUGCCUCUGUGCAUGCAUCUGUCCAUUCAUCCCUGCCUCUGUGCAUGCAUCUCUCCAUCCAUCCAUCCCUGCCUCUGUGCAUGCAUCUGUCCGUCCAUCCAUCCCUGCCUCUGUGCAUGCAUCUGUCCGUCCAUUCAUCCCUGCCUCUGUGCAUGCAUCUGUCCAUUCAUCCAUCCCUGACUCUGUGCAUGCAUCUGUCCAUCCAUCCAUCCUUGCCUCUAUGCAUGCAUCUGUCCGUGCAUCCAUACCUGCCUCUGUGCAUGCAUCUGUCAGUCUAUCAAUCCCCGAUCCCUUCUUUGUAAUGGUGUUGAGUGCUCACAACUCCCUCAUCCUAAGACGCUCGUUGGAUCCAUUCCCUCCCGUCACCCCAUGCUGCUCUCUGCCCUCCCUUCCCGGUCAAGUUCUCCAGCCAGUGGUCUCAACUCAAUCUUCACUUCCCCCGCUCCUCUCACACCUAUCCCCACUGCAUUCUAAAUUCUUCCCCAACGCGCUGGGCCUACAGGCACUAAAAAGGUCACUUUGUCCCUGGAUGACCAAACACAGGCCAAUGUAACUUACUGGGCUUGUUUUGCCCCAGCCACAGCUGACCACUUCCUCCUUCACUCUUGUUGUUGAUCACCUUUGGGCUUAGUCUUUCUCCAUCUCUGUUGAGUCCUUCUCCCCUGCCACCUACUCCUUCAUGCUGGGGUUCUCUGUAGCUCUGUACCUGACAGUCACGUUCCACCCUUUCCUCCCAGAAGCUCGCCAACCCCCGUGGACUGCUGGCUCUCAAGGCGACCGCUAGCCCAGCUCCGACAGCAGCUGACAAUGCACAGUAUGCGGCCCGGGACAGGCCCUGUGCUGAGAGGCAUGGGUGAAUCGCUCAUUUCAUCGGCAAGCCCACGCCACCAGCAGGCGCCGUUCUCCUCGCAUUUCUCAGAAGAGUUCCUCGGCCCUGCCUCCAAAAUAUACACCCCGAAUCCAACUACUUCUGGCCACAUAUGCCACCCAUCCUUCUGCCACCAUCCCUCGUGUGGACUCCGCAGCCGUCUUCUGCCUGGUCUCAGGGCUCCUGCCUUCCAUUCUCCAUCAGGACCCAGAGGAAGCUUAAAACUGCAAGUCAAAGCCGGGCACGGUGGCUCAUGCCUGUAAUCCCAGCACUGUGGGAGGCCAAGGUGGGCUGAUCGCUUGAGGCUAAGAGUUCGAGACCUGCUUGGCCAACAUGGCAAAACCCUGUCUCUACUAAACAUACAAAAAAAUUAGCUGGGCAUGGUGGCGGAUGCCUGUAGUCCCAGCUACUCAGGAGGCUGAGGCAGGAGAAUCACUUGAACCCGGGAGGCAGAGAUUGCAAUGAGCCGAG